UUUCCCAGGCGGCUGCCAAAGAUGGCGGAGGUGCAGGUCCUGGUGCUCCACGGUCGAGGCCAUCUCCUGGGCCGCCUGGCGGCCAUCGUGGUUAAACAGGUACUGCUGGGCCGGAAGGUGGUGGUUGUACACUGCGAAGGCAUCAACAUUUCUGGCAAUUUCUACAGAAACAAGUUGAAGUACCUGGCUUUCCUCCGCAAGCGGAUGAACACCAACCCUUCCCGAAGCCCCUACCACUUCCGGGCCCCCAGCCGCAUCUUCUGGCGGACCGUGCGAGGCACGCUGGCUCACAAGACCAAGCGAGGCCAGGUUGCCCCGGACCGCCUCAAGGUGUUUGACGGGAUCCCACCGCCCUACGACAAGAAAAAGUGGAUGGUGGUUCCUGCUGCCCUCAAGGUCGUGCGUCUGAAGCCUACAAGAAAGUUUGCCUAUUUGGGGCGCCUGGCUCACGAGGUUGGCUGGAAGUACCAGGCAGUGACAGCCACCCUGGAGGAGAAGAGGAAAGAGAAAGCCAAGAUCCACUACCGGAAGAAGAAACAGCUCAUGAGGCUACGGAAACAGGCCAAGAAGAACGUGGAGAAGAAGAUUGACAAAUACACACAGGUCCUCAAGACCCACGGACUCCUGGUCUGAACCCAAUAAAGACUUAACUCCUCAUGUGUGGCCUGCCCUUCCUCCAUCGUCACCCUGGAAUGUGCGGGACCCAGGGGCAGCAGUAGUCCAGGUGCCACAGGCGGCCGGGGACAUAGGAAGCUGGGAGCAAGGAAAGGGUCUUAGUCACUGCCUCCCGAGGUUGCUUGAAAGCAGAGAAUUGUGCAGCUGCCAUUUAUCUAUGACCAAUAGGAAGAGCAACCAGUUACUGUUAGCAAAAGGGAGUCAGAAGACGGGCUGGAGGGCCCUACCUUGUGAGUGGGGCAUCUGUUGGACUUUCCACCUGGUCAUAUACUCUGCAGCUGUUAGAAUGUGCAAGCACUUGGGAACAGUAUGAGCUUGCUGUUGUGCACAGGGUAUUUCUAGAAGCAGAAAUAGACUGGGAAGAUGCGCAACCAAGGGGUUACAGGCAUCGCCGGUGCUCCUCACCUGUAUUUUGUAAUGAGAAAUAAAUUGCUUUCAAA